ACCCUUGUGGAGGAGGACGCCGAAGGUGGGGCUAAUGACUGGGGUGAAGUCGUAACAAGGUAGCCGUACCGGAAGGUGCGGCUGGAUCACCUCCUAACAGGGAGACAACAAAAUGUUUAAUAUUAUUAUUUUGUCACCUUAGGUCGAUCGGUAUCUCACGUUCUUACUUUGUUAAGAAUUUCAUUUCCUAAGUUUUUCUAGGUCACACCCAUUAUUUUUCCUGGGCCAUUAGCUCAGGUGGUUAGAGCGCACCCCUGAUAAGGGUGAGGUCCCUGGUUCAAGUCCAGGAUGGCCCAUAUCUCUAUGUUGGGGGUAUAGCUCAGUUGGUAGAGCGCCUGCUUUGCAAGCAGGAUGUCAGCGGUUCGAGUCCGCUUACCUCCACUGAUCACCACCUCUUCCAUAAUCGGUAGAAAGGAAAUGUAUUUGAGUUGUGAUCAUUAUUCUGAACGAAUCUAGCUUCCUAAUGAAAUCAUUAAGAUGCUGGACUCAUUGAAUUAAUUUCAUUGUUUUCAGAGAACCUUGACAACUGCAUAGAUUAUUUUUAAAGACAAUAAGCAUCUUUAAUGAUGCAGAUUUAUUAUUUGUGCGAAUGCAUUAAUAACAAUUCUAUUAAGCUGAUGCUUCAAUUUUUGAAGUUAUUGGUCAAGCUACAAAGGGCUCACGG
rnacentral:misc_RNA from 1 species